rnacentral:rRNA from 1 species
AUUGAACGCUGGCGGCAUGCCUUACACAUGCAAGUCGAACGGCAGCGCGGGCUUCGGCCUGGCGGCGAGUGGCGAACGGGUGAGUAAUGCAUCGGAACGUGCCCAGUAGUGGGGGAUAGCCCGGCGAAAGCCGGAUUAAUACCGCAUACGACCUGAGGGUGAAAGCGGGGGACCGAAAGGCCUCGCGCUAUUGGAGCGGCCGAUGUCGGGUUAGCUAGUUGGUGGGGUAAAGGCUUACCAAGGCGACGAUCCGUAGCUGGUCUGAGAGGACGACCAGCCACACUGGGACUGAGACACGGCCCAGACUCCUACGGGAGGCAGCAGUGGGGAAUUUUGGACAAUGGGGGCAACCCUGAUCCAGCCAUGCCGCGUGCGGGAAGAAGGCCUUCGGGUUGUAAACCGCUUUUGUUCGGGAAGAAAUCCUCUGGGCUAAUACCCCGGGGGGAUGACGGUACCGGAAGAAUAAGCACCGGCUAACUACGU